GUAUUUCUGUUUAUACUUAUUUUUUGUCCAGGCCCUUGAUUCUAUCAGUAUGGGAAUCUUCCAGCAUGGAAAUUCCCUCUGCUAAUGCACAUUAGAAAACCCCUGUAACUUAGAAAGAUUGCCUGUGUCCACUGAGAAGCAAGCUAAGUCAGAGUCAGAGUGUGGGGAAAACCCAAGCUCUUCUGGAAUUUGAGUCAACAUUCGUCUCGUAAAAGAACUUCUAAAGUCGUCAGUGUAGAAUACUCUACUAAACUUCAUGGAAUUAUAAUCUAUGGCAGUGGAGAGAUAGCAACCAAGUUGAUCAAAUCACAGACCCUUGAAGCAUCAAGAAUCUAAACUCAUGGCGUCUAGGGAUUGUUUCAUUAUUUGUACUUCUAUCUCCAGUACCUAGCACACAUCAUACUUGCUUAAUAAAUGUUUGUUGAUUGAUUGAUCUAGUUCUUUU
rnacentral:lncRNA from 1 species